CCUACGGGUGGCAGCAGUGGGGAAUAUUGCACAAUGGGCGCAAGCCUGAUGCAGCCAUGCCGCGUGUGUGAAGAAGGCCUUCGGGUUGUAAAGCACUUUCAGCGGGGAGGAAGGCGGUGAGGUUAAUAACCUCAUCGAUUGACGUUACCCGCAGAAGAAGCACCGGCUAACUCCGUGCCAGCAGCCGCGGUAAUACGGAGGGUGCAAGCGUUAAUCGGAAUUACUGGGCGCAAAGCGCACGCAGGCGGUCUGUCAAGUCGGAUGUGAAAUCCCCGGGCUCAACCUGGGAACUGCAUUCGAAACUGGCAGGCUAGAGUCUUGUAGAGGGGGGUAGAAUUCCAGGUGUAGCGGUGACAUGCGUAGAGAUCUGGAGGAAUACCUGUGGCGAAGGCGGCCCCUGGACAAAGACUGACGCUCAGGUGCGAAAGCGUGGGGAGCAAACAGGAUUAGAUACCCUAGUAGUC
rnacentral:rRNA from 1 species